AGAGUUUGAUCCUGGCUCAGAUUGAACGCUGGCGGCAUGCCUUACACAUGCAAGUCGAACGGCAGCACGGACUUCGGUCUGGUGGCGAGUGGCGAACGGGUGAGUAAUACAUCGGAACAUGUCCUGUAGUGGGGGGAUAGCCCGGCGAAAGCCGGAUUAAUACCGCAUACGAUCUAAGGAUGAAAGCGGGGGACCUUCGGGCCUCGUGCUAUAGGGUUGGCCGAUGGCUGAUUAGCUAGUUGGUGGGGUAAAGGCCUACCAAGGCGACGAUCAGUAGCUGGUCUGAGAGGACGAUCAGCCACACUGGGACUGAGACACGGCCCAGACUCCUACGGGAGGCAGCAGUGGGGAAUUUUGGACAAUGGGCGCAAGCCUGAUCCAGCAAUGCCGCGUGUGUGAAGAAGGCCUUCGGGUUGUAAAGCACUUUUGUCCGGGAAGAAAACUCACCGACUAAUACUGGGUGAGGCUGACGGUACCGGAAGAAUAAGCACCGGCUAACUACGUGCCAGCAGCCGCGGUAAUACGUAGGGUGCGAGCGUUAAUCGGAAUGACUGGGCGUAAAGCGUGCGCAGGCGGGUUUGCUAAGACCGAUGUGAAAUCCCCGGGGCUCAACCUGGGAACUGCAUUGGUGACUGGCAGGCUAGAGUAUGGCAGAGGGGGGUAGAAUUCCCGUGUAGCAGUGAAAUGCGUAGAGAUGUGGAGGAAUACCGAUGGCGAAGGCAGCCCCCUGGGCCAAUACUGACGCUCAUGCACGAAAGCGUGGGGAGCAAACAGGAUUAGAUACCCCGGUAGUCC
rnacentral:rRNA from 1 species